UACCUUUAUUUCUGAGAGUGUAGGGAACAGUAUUUAUGCCUAACGUUUAACCAAUAACACAUCAAACACUUGACUCCCAUACUAAAGCCAGAGACAAUUAUUGAAUUUGUAUUGUCACGUACCAAGUUUAAAAGUUACAAAUUUCAUGGUGGUUCCAGGAUAGCUGCUGGGUUUUGCAUUUGUCUUGAUGUAAAUAAUAUGAUUUUCUCCAUCUAUCAGUUGUCAAGUCAGUGCCUAUAGGCACAGCAAACUUGAUCAGACAUGCAGUCCACUAAGAUAACCAUUUCAUUCACCUUAUAUGUCUCUACCAACCAUAUCACGACAGCACACUAUGAUUACUGUAUAUAUAUAUAUAUCUCACAGUUUUCACAUAAAUAUUAAGCAGCACAGCUGUUUCAACACUGAUAAUAAUAACAAAUAUUUCUUGAGCAGCAAAUCUGCAUAUUAGAAUGAUUUCUGUAGGACUGAAGAUUUCAUCACAGGAAUAAAUUAUAUUUAAAAGUAUAUUUAAACAUUUUUAUAAAAAAAUUAUAAUAUUUCUGUAUUUAACAAUAUUACUAUAUUUUUGAUCAGAUAAAUGUCUUGGUGAUGCUGCAGAGACUUCUUUCAAAAAUGAUGAUGUUGGUUUUUAUACCCAUAUAUGUAUUGUCCUUAUGUAAUGUCAGCUCUCACGUAAGUCCCCAAUCUAAAUUAAACAUGGCCACAUAAACGACAGCACACUCUGUGUUGUGACACACACGUACACACAGUGGUCUGAAAACAGAGCUGUGUGAGGAAUGUUGGGGGUGUUCAGGGGUAGGCAGAGGAGAGGAUGAUUGGUGUGGGCAGCUGAGAUUUGUCCCCCAGCUGUAAUGACAGAUUACUCAGCAGGUGUGCCACUCAUCCCUCACGGUAGAGCCAACACGACUGCCGGACUACACAGCUCAGCUCUCAGAUACUUUUCCGGUUCUGCAUGCAGUAUAAAUAAAAAAAACAAACCACACAAUAUAUAUAUUUUAGAAUGCAUUAAUUUCAGAUUUUUCAGUGACUUUUUCUGUAAGUUGCAUCAUUACACCAGUAGGUGGCGACAAAUUAAGUGCGUUACAGAGUCAUUGACUCAACCGAUUCGUUCAGGAACUAAACAAGUCUGGCCCUGUCCCAAAUAGCAACAAAAUCCCAAGCAGUCUUCCUUGAAUCCACACAUAAUGCCGCUUUGACUGUUAGGUUGAAGUGGAGGCCUCGGCAAAAAUGCAUAUUAAGUGCAUAGCGACUGCAAAGGGGGCAGUCAUGAGCACUAUUUUUAAAACCAAAAUGGGACACCCUGCGGCAGGUAUAUCCUGGAGGGCCACUGAGUACGUUUACAUGGACAACAAUAUUCUGAUUUUAACACGAUUAAGACAAUACUCUGAUUAAGAAUCUACCAUGUAAACAGAGAUUUUUGAUUACCUUAAUCCAGCUAAAGUCAUACUCGAAGUAAGCACAAAUCAAAUUAAGGCAUGUGGAGUAUUCCUAUUAUAGUUGCAUUAUUGAGUAUAGUACACACCUUAAUCACACUUUUACCAUCGUGUAGCGCUUUUCGCCGCAUUUUGCGAUAGGAUACAAACACAGCAGUUUUCAACCGUUUGACAGCAAAAAAAAAGAGCAUGGAUUCGAAGCUUUCAGUAAAUUAAAAAUGAAACACCCAAAUAUGGCAUCAUAACGAAGAUGAACUCUAUCUCGAUAUGUGAAAUUCUGGAGGAAACGUCGGAUGGCGUCGCAUGGUGACGUAAUGACGUGUGCCAUUAAUCGAUCUAUGCACUAUAACAUGUAAAACGGGAACAUGAAAGGAAUAUUCUAAAAGCAACUCAUGCAAACACCUUAAUCAUAAUAUUGUCUUGUUUACAAUAAGGUAAAUAAUUAGAUUACUGAUGUCCAUGUAAACGUAGUCACUGUCCCACAGAGUUUUGCUCCAGCCCUAAUUAAACACACCUGAACCAGCUAAUCAAGGUCUUACUAGGCAUGCUAGAAAAUUCCAGGCAGGUAUGUUGAGGCAAGUUAGAGCUAAACUCUGCAGGACACCGGCCCUCCAGGACAGAGUUUGGACAGCCCUGCCCUACGGUCUUGUGAACUUAACAAACAUGGACACCCAUUGUACAUACACACGACUAGCACUCUCAAAAGGAAGAUCUUGAAGCCCCCUGCUGAUUGUAUAGGGCAGAUUCUGAAUUCUCAAACCUCACGUCCCCUCAGGGCCAUCAGGACUGCCACCAUCAGCCCAGAAAAGAAAGAAAGUCACACUGAUUUGUAACAACAUGAAGGUCAUUUUGAAUGGCCUUGAAACACAAACCAGGUCCAGAUUGUCUGUGCUGCAUGGUCCCGUGGCUGAUAAGAUCCCAAGGCGGCAGCUGGGCAGAGGCUGAGCUGUUCGCGAGGGUCCACCCGGCUCAGUUUACAGUGACAGCUGGCCUGCCGAUGGUGGGGAAAAAGGGAGAGGCCAGGGCGGGAGGGCUGUUUCUGAAUGGGACAGUGUAAGAGGACUACUUGUUGUCUAAGGCCGGGGAUUACCUUUGCCGAGACCUGGAGUAAAACAUCCCUGAGGGACGCUGUGCUGUGUUGUGAAAGCUUAAGGCUCAUGGAUGAUACGUAGUUUAUAGGGAUAGAGUGGGGAUUGCCAUGUAAAUAUGAAAAUAUGCAUAUGGUCUCAAUAACAGCAAACAAAGUGAAUUAAAAAAUAUAUAACAAUGCAAAAGAAAUGAUGGGAGAUUUAUGUUUUAUUUUAACUGACUCUGUCUUGCAUCACUUUUUUUUCUUCUGUCUCUUCCCUGUCCUCAGCUCUGGGAGAGGGAAGAACGGGAUGAAGCUUGAACCCUGAGCUUUGGGGCAUCCGGUCGAGGCCUGGAUACUAAUACUCAUGGCUUUCCGAGAGAUUUCCUGAACCUGCUGGCCCACGCUGUGAAUAAAGAUGCGGAAAAUGA